GGCCCAUCUUCCUGUGUUAUCAUCACAAUAGUCCUGCAGGAUAGGUGAUUGACACUUAAUCCAAUGAUGUUACCAGAUAAAUGGAGGUCAGGGGCUAGGUGGCUUUUCCUAGGUCUGUGCACCCUCUCUCAAGCCUCCCCCUCAUCUGUCUGCCCUGAGGGUACUUGGCAUGUCAGUACCCACUGCUAAUGUCAGAGGCCCCAGCUGUUGGAAUAACAGUUCAUUCUGUUUCAUGCAUGCAGCGAGACUGCUCUGGGCUGAGGCCCUCGAGGAGGCAGAGAUUUGCAGAGUUCAUCUUUUGAAAGAGAAAGGUUCCAAGUCAUAUGAAGUGCUUCUGUCACUCCAGGAAGAGGCUGUGUUCAGUUGGUCAGAGGGCAUGGUCUCCUUCCAGCUCCUGUCCCCAACCUUAAGUGGCUCCAAGAAAGGUCUUAUUAUAGUGCAUCAGCCAGGUGGCCAGAGUAGCUCACUGGGCUCAAGUGAGGCCUUCUCUGCUCACAUGCCUGUGAUGGACAGGCCUGGUGGAUCACAGCAGGGCUGGGCUGGAUGCUCCAUUCAAACUGCUGGCCUUCAGUUUGUCUGGCCCACACUCCUAUGGAUAGGAGCACAGGAAACCACACCCCCAG
rnacentral:lncRNA from 1 species